GGUAUGUAUAUAUAUUAGGUUAGAAGAAUUUCUAAAGUGGGUGGUGUGAAUGUAAAAGAAAAUAUUGCAAACGUUUUAAAUAGUUCCUCGUCAGCGAGCUUCACUGUUAAUGGUUGCUCUGUCCGUUGUGUAAUACUCCAAUCAAUCA